rnacentral:rRNA from 1 species
AUUGAACGCUGGCGGCAGGCCUAACACAUGCAAGUCGAACGAGCGGCGGACAGGUGAGUAAUGUGUGGGAAACUGCCUGAUGGAGGGGGAUAACUACUGGAGACGGUGGCUAAUACCGCAUACCCUCCACUGUGCCCAGAUGGGAUUAGCUAGUGGGGGGGGUAACGGCUCACCUAGGCGAGGAUCCCUAGCUGGUCUGAGAGGAUGACCAGCCACACUGGAACUGAGACACGGUCCAGACUCCUACGGGAGGCAGCAGUGGGGAAUAUUGCACAAUGGGCGAAAGCCUGAUGCAGCCAUGCCGCGUGAGUGAAGAAGGCCUUCGGGUUGUAAAGCACUUUCAGCGGGGAGGCGUUACCCGCAGAAGAAGCACCGGCUAACUCCGUGCCAGCAGCCGCGGUAAUUC